ensembl:lncRNA
AGGAGAAGUGUUCUGAUCACAUGGCAUUGUACCACAUGACUACAGCACUUGAAUGCUUGAGAAGACACAGGACUUCCUGAGGACAACUCUAAAAAAGAGUCUCCAUUCUUUUUUUCAAUCAUAGAACACAAAAUACUUUCCUACAGCAUGGUUUGGUCUUUAAAACGUAGGCUGUGAGUCUGGCAAAUCCAUUAUAGGUGUCCACUUGAUUGUUCAGAUUGAAAAUAGCAGCUGACCAUCUCACUUUUUUUUCAGCUGAGUGUAUAACUGGAUAACUUGUGGUUCUAACGGGUCCAUUGAUAGUACUGCAUACCGGCAGCAGUCAUGUUAUUUUUGUUUUUGCACUUAAGAUGAAUAAUACAUGUUCAUUCCCAUAUGCUUUGCAGAUCCAGCCCAUUCUUUCACAUCUGCAGUUACACUCUGUUCCUAGUUUUACUCUAUCCAGCUAUAUAUGGGACCAAGUACACACCCAAUCUACCCACACAUGCACACAUAAUAUACGCACACUCAUAAUACACAGGGGACUCCCAAAGCUUUCAGCAGAAUAGUAAGUGACCAGAGGAUGUUGUGAAUUUUCCCUCCUGAUUCUACAAGCUUUCACUGGCUUAAUCUGCUGGAAGUCAGUCAGCUAUGCUGUAGACAACACAGUGCUGUAAGAACACAUCAUCUCAGUUUCUCUUCAAUUCAUCAUUCUUUCUGUUUCUCGUUCCCCAUUUGUUCUUAGCCUGAGGACAUUUCAGCUGAGGAUCACACAUUUUCUACCCAUUUUGCCAGCAUCAGCAAAGACCAGUUGAAUGCACUUGGGCACUUUUUAAGGCAGCAAGAGAACAAGCAACACGUGUUAUGUGAGGAAGUGUUCUCAUACAGAGACGAGAAGCAAAAACCCUGCACUCGUUAUCCAUAUACAGCAGAUAUCAGCACUUUUUUUUUAUCACUAUGUGUACUUGCAUAUGCUCUUCUACUAAGGGGUUGUGACUGAUUUCAAGAUUAGACUUCAUACAUUGUGGCAUCAUCUCUGUGUAGGACAAGGUUUCAUUUGAAUAUCUUGUUUGUUUGCUACAUAAUGGUAUCACUGCAUUGGCUUCAUUACUCUGUAGCAAGGGCUCUCAAAAGUUUGCAGCCAGAGAUCUCUUUUACUGUAAAAUAAAUAUCCACAGAGCCCCUCAGCACAGAUUUAUUUUAUGACCAUAAUCUGAGUAGUCAAAAAUUAGGCUCAUUAAUGAAAUAUGUCAAAUAAUAAUCUGGGUAUUUAUUAGAGCCAAAUGGGUUUUACUCCUCAAAUUUUCACUGAC